UGGAUCCUCAUCCAGAUCAUGCCUUCUAACUGGUGCAAUUCUGAUCAGGAGACUUCCCAAUUUGCAAAUCUGUUCCUCAUAAUGAAACUAAUUAAUUAAAUGGCUACCAGAUUACUGGCACUUUGUCUAUGGACUACUGUUUCAUCAUUCUCAGUAGGAUCACAGGUUUUAGAGCCGGAAGUAAUGUUGCAAGCCACCGAAGCCAACUCCUUCAUUUUACAGAACAGAAAACAGAGACUCAGACUUACUUGCUUUGAGUCAUUAUCUAAGGCAGUGUUUGACCUCGUCUUCCUGACUUCCAAGUCCAAUAAACCAUAAAGGAGGAAGAAUUGCUCUGUGGAUUGUGUUUCCAAUCCACACCUAUCCCAGCCCUGUUCUAUUUUCUUCCCCACCCAUCACAACCCCAACCCAAGGUGAAAUGCAAUAAAGACGGAAUUUAGAAGUGAUAUGGAAGUCUCUAGUAAUCAGGGAAGGAUCUUCUGUAAUUAUACACUCAGAAAUUUAUGAAUGGGGCAGAGAACUAUGUAGUUCCCCUCAGCACAUUUAAUAAAUGUAUUGUCUAAACUAACCUAAGUGGAAAGAUAAACUAAAUCCAUCAAAGGAAAGUAGAUAUCUUUGGCUGAAGGUCCAUGAGUCUACAGGUUUAUAGAAGUCAGUAAACAUAACAUGAUAAGGUUAUUGCUGCCUGUUGAUUUUCUUUCAAUGCAGGUUUAAGAUAUAGCUAGUGGGGAUAAUAGUAUGGAUAACAGUAUGGAACUAAACGCCACCAGUUUCAUUAUAAUUUUGAUGAGUGUGGGUCCCUGCCUUCAAUACUGAUCAUCAUGCAUUUACUAAGCAUUUAUUAUAU